rnacentral:misc_RNA from 1 species
CCCCCAGUGGCCACUCCACGCUCUUCCCGUCAUUGUUUGUCUGCUCCGCGCCCUCACCUCUCUCUCUCUCUCUCCCCCCGCUGCCGCCCCCAUGGUUACUGCUCCAGUGUGGGUAUAGAUGGUUGUGGAGCGUUGGAGCGGCCCGGCAGCCAUGGAGGAGCUACUGUCGUUAAAGUGGAACAACCAUCGCACCACUUUCAUUCAUAUUUUGGGGGUUCUCAGGGAUAAGCAAGCGUAUACGGAUGUCACUCUGGCAUGUGAUGGCAAAUUCUACAGUGUGCACAAGUUGGUGCUUUCAACGUGUAGUGAUUACUUCUGUGCCAUGUUUGACAAGACUGCUUGCAAGAGCCCUGUUAUAGUGUUAAAAGAUAUUAAGUGUGAGGACCUAGAGGCCUUGCUAGAUUAUAUGUACCUUGGUGAAGUGAAUGUGCGACAAAGUGACUUAGCUUCUUUAAUUAAGGCAGCAGAAAAUUUGAGAAUUAAAGGCCUUGCAGUACCUGAUGAUGAACCUCCAAAUAAGGGCAUGGGGGUAGCACCUCCACGGACAGAACCUGUUAGGAGAGAUGGAGGAAGUGGUAGUCCACCAACAAAGAGAAAACGAAGAGAUGAAGGCGAAGAUGGCAGGGAAGAUGUUAGACCGCCUCCGGCUCCACCUUCAUCAGGUGGCUUGCAUACACCCCCACCUGCAUCUAGACCAAAGAGCCCUGUUAGCCAGCGGCUGAGCCCUUCACCUCAUAGAACCUCUCAGGAGUCACCUGUAGCUGAAGACCGCACUAGCCGUCCCCUUUCUUCUCCAGCAGAACCCCCUCCAGCAUCACGGGCAUCUUCACAACCCCCUGCUCAGUCUGCAUCUUCUCAACCCCCUAUUAAUCAGUACACCGAUGACACUCCAUCUUUUGUAAAGGUGGAGAUGGAGGAAGAGCGUCCUGAUGAUAUGCAUGGGGAUUCGUAUGAUUUAAGUGCAGAUGGCUAUAAAGAAGAAGGGGAUGAUUCGGGGAGUGGAAUGAACAAUGAUUUACCCGAGUUCCUACAAGCAGCUGCCUCUGGAGCCUUAGGCAGUGGUGCUGCAUCUUAUGCCCAUCACUCCUUUGCUGGCCCUUCUGGCUAUCAGCCGGGGGAUCUGGCUGGCUGGCAGGGUGAUGGCUCAUCUUUAGGGUUUCCAGCUCAUCUAAACUUCAGCACCUCAGACAGUUCUAGUCAACAGAAUGCACCCGGGGGGCGGGUGGCGGCCUGGCAGUCCGCGUUGGUGGCACACCGCCCCCAUCUGCCAACACCCACUUCUCCAUCUGUUGCUGUUGAGUGCAUAACAUGUGGCAAGAUCUUCUACGGCUUCAACCGCAAGUUCCUGUUAAAGCGACAUAUGAUUACUCAUACUGGUGAAAAACCAUUCCAGUGUCCACAUUGCCCACACAGAGCAAACUUGAAACAGAAUUUGGAAGUGCAUAUCAAAAGGAAGCACAGAUACCAGCUGUCCUCAGGGUUUAUGUCUUCUACUCAAGCAGAAACUCUUUAAAGUAGAAACAUUAUUUUUAUAUUCUACUCUGAAAAUGUGUUACUUUGUGCAGUUAAUUUUUAGUGAUAUUAAGAAGUGGAUGUGGGAAUGUGCUGAUCGUGAAGUGGAAGGUUAAGUGUGCCCUGUAUUGCAGGCGGGUGGAGGGACGACGCAGGAACAAGUGGGAGCUGUCCUAGAGCCUGGCACCUGCCAUCUGUGUGGCAAGCACUUCCCCCCUACUGCAUCCUCUUGGCGGCAGAAAUUAGAGCGCCAUUUUCUGACACACACAGGAGUUAAGCCUUAUCGUUGCCCAUAUUGCCCACACCACAGUGGCAGGAAGGAUUCUAUCAGGAGGCAUAGUAGGAUUAUGCAUCCUGAUAAGCCACCCCUCUCUGCCUCAGAUGUAGUCUUGGCAUAUGAUCAGACUGUCACACAAAUUUGAAGAAUUCAUUUACCAAGGAUACUGGGGUCAUCUUGGAUGUGGGAACGCUGCUUGCCUGUCUGGAUUCGGAGCGGAGGUGCCGAGUGUGCGGUAAACAGUUCCAGCCAAGUCCCUCGUGGAAGCAAAAAUUGACGCGCCACCUCAUGACUCAUUCAGGAGC